UGGGGAAUAUUGCACAAUGGGCGCAAGCCUGAUGCAGCCAUGCCGCGUGUGUGAAGAAGGCCUUCGGGUUGUAAAGCACUUUCAGCGAGGAGGAAGGUGGUGAGCUUAAUACGCUCAUCAAUUGACGUUACUCGCAGAAGAAGCACCGGCUAACUCCGUGCCAGCAGCCGCGGUAAUACGGAGGGUGCAAGCGUUAAUCGGAAUUACUGGGCGUAAAGCGCACGCAGGCGGUUUGUUAAGUCAGAUGUGAAAUCCCCGGGCUCAACCUGGGAACUGCAUUUGAAACUGGCAAGCUAGAGUCUCGUAGAGGGGGUAGAAUUCCAGGUGUAGCGGUGAAAUGCGUAGAGAUCUGGAGGAAUACCGGUGGCGAAGGCGGCCCCCUGGACGAAGACUGACGCUCAGGUGCGAAAGCGUGGGGCAGCAAACAGGAUUAGAUACCCUGGUAGUCCACGCUGUAAAACGAUGUCGAUUUUGGAGGUUGUGCCCUUGAGGCGUGGCUUCCGGAGCUAACGCGUUAAAUCGACCGCCUGGGGAGUACGGCCGCAAGGUUAAAACUCAAAUGAAUUGACGGGGUCAUAGCUGUUCCU
rnacentral:rRNA from 1 species